UACAUAGACCUCAAGCGUUAUCCGGAAUCACUGGGCGUAAAGGGCGCGUAGGCGGCGUAACAAGUCACUUGUGAAAUCUCCGGGCUUAACUCGGAGCGGUCAAGUGAUACUGUUGUGCUAGAGUGCGGAAGGGGCUACUGGAAUUCUCGGUGUAGCGGUGAAAUGCGUAGAUAUCGAGAGGAACACCUGCGGCGAAGGCGGGUAGCUGGGCCGACACUGACGCUGAUGCGCGAAAGCCAGGGGAGCGUACGGG
rnacentral:rRNA from 1 species